UACGUAGGGGGCAAGCGUUAUCCGGAUUUACUGGGUGUAAAGGGAGCGCAGACGGCAGUGCAAGUCUGGAGUGAAAGCCCGGGGCCCAACCCCGGAACUGCUCUUGGAACUGCGUGGCUGGAGUGCAGGAGGGGCAGGCGGAAUUCCUGGUGUAGCGGUGAAAUGCGUAGAUAUCAGGAGGAACACCGGUGGCGAAGGCGGCCUGCUGGACUGCAACUGACGUUGAGGCCCGAAAGCGUGGGGAGCAAACAGG
rnacentral:rRNA from 1 species